rnacentral:tRNA from 1 species
GUUGAUGUAGCUGAGUGGUAAAGCGCUUGGCUUCUGAACCAGGAUCCAGGGUUCAAAUCCUGGUGAAGACU